AAUUUGUAAUUAUGUGCAAAGUAGGGUUAUUUAAAAUGACACCUCUUGCUUAUAUGGCGAAAAAUUUUAAUUUUAACUUUCAGACAUCAUUUUAAUGAUUUGUCGGGUUAAGUGCAAAAAAGCCUCCCUGCAAUAAAGGUUUUGUGCGCGAAAAAAAAAGAAGAAAAAAAAAAGAAAAAGAAAAAAAAGAGAGAGGUGCAAAUAAGCCUAUUUGACCACUUUUUGGUCAAAAUUGGACACAAAGGAGUUGUCUGGGCUAGAAGGUUUGCUGCCGAUGUCGCUGGAGUUGAAGUACCGCUCAGGAGACGAAGAGGUGGAGGACGACGAGUUUGAGUUUCCCUGCCACCGCGGAUCCACGGCAGCGACCAUUGUUUGGAGGGAAUCUGCGGGUCGGAGCACUAAAACAGCGAGUCUCGAAGAAGUCGGAGAGAUCGGACCCACAACAGAAGAUCCGAUUCUCGUUUGGUGGCUGUUGGCGACGGUGACGGACGGCGAGCUUAGGACGCCGUUAAUGAUGGUGGAUACAGGAGGCAGGUGGCUGUUGGUGAUUUUGCGAUUUCUCUCUUCCUCUCUCAUGUCUUAUUUAUAUACACAUUGCAAUCCACCCACCCACCCACCACUACCAUCUAUACACUCUGUCUCUCUACUCACCACCACAACCAUCACCAUCCUACAAAUCCCAUUUAAUACAUACAUAUACACCACUAGAAACCCCAUUCAAAACUGUACCCGUUUUGUGCAAACAAUGGCAUCCGAAUCGGCGUGCUCGACUUGUGAAAAUUGCCUUGUCUUCAGCACACCAAAAAAGGCUUUUGGUAGAGGGGUUUGAUUUGAGGGUUAAUGGAGAGAGAAAUUAAAAAAAUAAAAAUAAAAAAAUUGGCUGGUUCAUUUCUAUUGCUUCUCUGCUUCCCUAACCAGUACCUCAACUUCUUUUUUUUUUGGAAUCUCAGAACUCAUAUUUGGGUGCCAAAGGGCUGGCCUUGUAUGUGUACCCAUUAUCCCACUUGAUCCUUAUUUUGCCCAAAACAACCAUCACCACCUUGUUCGAGUUGCCAUAGCGCAGAGUCAUUUUAGAGAGAGAAAUUAUAAGGGAGUGAGCAUGGGACAAAACCGUCAUUUUACAUAGCCUACAUUUUUAUAUAUUAAUUGUGUGAAAUGUCAUAUAUACCCUCAUCUUUCAAAUGCAAUUUAAGAAAAAAAAAUAUCAGAGAUUGCAAAAGAUGAAUUUAACCCUAUUAAUGAAUCUCCAAGAAUGGCGUUCUCUCUCCAUCACACACGCUCUCCCUGUCUCACCCUCAUCUCAUUUGAGAUGCAACCAUGAAACCCAAACACACCUUUAACAUUGAUCAGUCACACAAGUGCAAAUCCUAGUCACUUAAUACCCAUUCAAACCACCCGUUUGCUCCAAUUGUACACUCACAUCAUCAUCUUCUUCUCUCAUCUACUGCUCUUUUGAAAAAACCCAAACCCUAAAAUUGAAAGCCCUAAAAUCAAAAAACGACAACCUGAGGCAGCAGAUCAGAGAAGGUGAAGAGAAUCUUCCAACAAUUUGACGCCAACAGAGACGACGGCCUUAGUAGAGACGUGGCUGUCCUUGUCGUCUCCAUAAACCCUAGGGUCAAGUUCAGACGAACAUAUCAAUGCAAUUCUCGACGAAGUCUUCCAAACCUAGUGAAUUAUCGAUGGAGAAAAGGGUCUCACACUCUCACCUACGACGGCCUGUUGUGAACCUAAGAUGACGGUACCGGCGACAUCGGUCGCGCCUUCAAUGUGCUUGGCCUUGAGCUUAAAUAGGACAACACCAACGGAGUUUCGAUGGUCUCUAAACAAGCAUCAUCGUCUUCCAUUGCCGACGAGAAGGGAAAAAAAGAGAUCAUAUAUGCAGAUUUAGAAUUUCGGUGUUUCGGCGACGACGGCGACUUGGGUAAGUUUCCUUUCUCCCUUUCUCUCUCCUCUGAUAUCUGUAAAGUUCUCUCUCCCAUCUCUCUCUCUCUCUUCUCAGAUUUGUAAUUGGUUCAUGCUCAUUUUGGUUUUGUUUGUGAGUGGUGCUCAUUGUGGUUUCGUUUCUUAGAUGUAUUAGAUCGUUUUAUAAUUUUGUUUCUUUUAUAUACACUAAUAUUUGAAUGUAUGUUAGGAAUAUUCUGAUGUUUUCGUGUUAACUAAAAUUGUUUGCAUCAUGAUCUUUACAAUUAUAUAAAAUACAAUGGAAAAUUGAAAUGAAUAAUGUAAUUGUUGAACUAGGAAUUGAUAAUGAGAAGAAUGCUUUGAAUUCUAAAAAUGUUACCUUUUCAUUAGUGGAUCGUUGACAAUGAACUCACAAGCAGGUAAUUGCUAUUGAUGAAACAAGUUAGAAAAAUUAAUUAUUAUUAUUAUUUUUUGUUUUGAAAUGUUUGUGAUAUGGCUGGUUUUGAAAGUGGAAAUCACUGGGCAUCAGUAAGUUAAAAAAUGAAACAAAGAGUUAAUGAACAAAAUGGAAGCAAAUUUUGUUGCUUUAAAAAACCAUUAUCUAGUUUGGUUCAACCUACAUUAGUGCUAGGAGGGGAAGACUGAUGAUGGAUCUAACCUUUGGUAUUAUAUUGCAUAAAACGGCUUCUUUCGAACUCAAAACUGCAUUUUCACAUCAUUAAUUGCUUAUGAGAAAAAUGAUGAGGCAAAUUUUAAAAAGUGAGCUGAGUGUUUGGUAGUUCAAUUAAGAAACAUAUCUUUAAGCAAUGACAUAGUAGUUAUCGUAUUUUCAGAUACAUAAUUAUAAUUUGAAUUUGGAAAUUUGGUGAUUGUGUGAUUUGAAUUAAAAAAGGCUUCUACAUUGACCAGCAUGGGACAGUGAGCACCAUGGCUUUUCUUUUGUUGGUCUCACUUGUUAUGUAUCCAUCAAACAGAAACUCAAUUAAAAGCAUGUAAUUAAUACUAGUGAAGGAAAUGUAAUAUAAACAUUGACAAAAACUUAUCAAAUUUGAAUUGCAACAGUUUCACUUGGAAAUAGUUGCAGAUUAGGAACAUUUAAUAUUAUCUGUUUUUUUCUUUCUUUGUGUAGAACAAGCCUUUUCACUGGGGAAUAUGAUAUCGGUCACAAAGUAAAAAACUAAUCCUAAGAAUCAUCCGUGAGACCCAAACUUGCACUAUAUGCAUCUAAUGAAUGCAUGUUAUUCAAUAAUUCCUCUGCUCAUCUAUUAUUUCCUAUUGCUUAUGUUGUAUUCAUAUAUACAUAUAUAUAUUUUAGCACUGUUGUAUUCCUAUUUGAAUCCUUAAAUUCCAUCCUACCAAAAUGUAUAAUAAUUUUAUUAAUUCUUUAUUCCACUAUGCAAACUUUUUUUGAGAAAUGAUAAUUGAACUCUUCAGGAACAAAAAGUGGACUUGUUAGUAUAUUUCUUGUCAAUUCAAAAAAAAAAAAAAAAAAAUGGAAAAAAACAAUUGAGCAAAGUUUAUAUGUAAACAAUUAAGAUGUAAUUUUGACAAAGAUAAGUACAAAAACCACAGUAGAGAUGAAUUAGAUUCAAGUUAAAUUUAUUCACUUAUUUAUUUUUUAUCAAAAUAUGUUUCAAAUACUAUGUAGUUUGAGCAUUUUAUUUUCAUUAGGAAAGUGUAGGAAGUCAUAUUGUUGCUACAUACGAAUAUCGCUCCCCCCCAACCCACCACCACCGUCGUCGACUUGAGUAAGUUUCCUUUCUCAUAUUUGAAAUUUUUUCUCCCUUUUUCUCUCCUCUGAUAACUGUAAAGUUCUCUCUCCCAUCCCCAUGUCUCUCUCUAUCCCUUUCUUCUCCGAUUUGUAAUUGGAUCAUGCUCAUUUUGGUUUUGUUUGUGAGUGGUGCUCAUUGUGGCUUCAUUUCUCAGUUGUAUUAGUUCUUUUAUAAGUUUGUUUCUUAUAUAUACUCUAAUUUUUGCUUGCAUGCUA